GCCUAGUAACGGCGAGUGAACAGGCAAGAGCUCAGAUUUGAAAGGCACUUUUGUGCCGUUGUAUUCUGAAGUUAGGGUCCUGAGAAACGAUGCUUAAGUCUUCUGGAAAGGAGCGCCAUGGAGGGUGAUAGCCCCGUCUAGCAUUGACCUCAUAUAGGAUCUUAACAUGGAGUCGAGUUGUUUGGGAAUGCAGCUCAAAUGGGUGGUAUGCUCCAUCUAAAGCUAAAUAUCUGCGAGAGACCGAUAGUAAACAAGUACUGUGAGGGAAAGAUGAAAAGAACUUUGAAAAGAGAGUGAAAAAGUACGUGAAAUUGUUGAAAUGGAAGGGUAGGCCGCUAACCAUGUAGAGCCGUGUUUGGGGGGAAGAUAAAUGCUGUAGAAUGUAGCUCCUCGGAGUAUUAUAGAUGCAGUUCAUAUUCCCACCCGAGCGCGAGGAUCUCAGGUUCUACUAAAUGGUGGUCUACCACCCGUCUUGAAACACGGACCA
rnacentral:rRNA from 1 species